rnacentral:rRNA from 1 species
GGAUGCGAUGAUACCAGCACUAAAGCACCGGAUCCCAUCAAAACUCCGAAGUUAAGCGUGCUUGGGCGAGAGUAGUACUAGGUUGGGUGACCUCCUGGGAAGUCCUCGUGUUGCAUUCU